rnacentral:misc_RNA from 1 species
AAGGCUCUGCCUUUGCGUUGAGUUUUCCUGCAAAGGAAUCCUCCAAACCUCUGGGCGUACGUCGUGCCUGAACCGCAACAGAAUGCGACCAAGGCUUCUCGGCGUGCUGCCAACAAAAACGUCAA